AAAAAUUUAAAAAAUCACGCAUGUGAGAGGCAGAAUUGUAUUAGAACAUCUGUUUUCAGCUUGAUGCUUUUAUUCAGAUGUUUGCUUCUCUCUUGUCUGAGGUGACCAGGAGAUAUCAGAGUUCAGAAAUCUGGCCAGAGAAACUUGCUUAAAAUUGCUUUGUCUUGUCCACAAAAACGCCCCAGGCUUUACAUGAAUGGCACAUUUCAACAAAAGUAAAUUUAGUUGAAAUGCUCUGACCACCUCCAGACUGUUCUCUGUGGCACCAGGCACUGCAGGCAAAACAGAUACAUCUUGGCAAAAUUACACCACUGAAAUUGCCGGCAGAAGAGCUCAAUUUAACACCCACUAAUUGUUGCACAAUAGUUACAGGAAUAAACGGAAUUUGUUAAUUAGAUGCACGCCAAUGAGUAAUUCAAGACUGGUUUAAAUAAUUAUUCCUAUCUUCCCAAUAGGCUGUGGUGGUGAUUAGCUAGCUGGCUGUUUCUCUUGACUCUUCUGCUUCAAAUAGAAAGGAGGUGAGACACCCAUGCACUGAGCCAUGGCACUCCUUAAUGAAAUCCCACUCCCGGGUUGCUGGGACCCGCUUGCCUGCGGCUGCUGUUGGUUGUUGCUUCUGACCACAGAAACGUCACAGACAGCGAGGCACGCUCUUCAUGGACCUAGGAGAAAUGUUGCUACUGAAACAGCCACCUGAUGGCUGCCUAAAGGAAAACAGCAGUAGUACAAACUGGUUCUGUGUAGGAAAUAUUGCAAUCUGUAAGAUUUGUGGAGGAAAUUAAGGAAGGCAGCACACAAGCAGGAGCCGGGAAGCAUGAAGACUAAUCUUGCCAAAAUUCAGGUAAAUGAUCAUAAGUUCCAAGACCUUAACGUUGUAUCUCCCCUCAUAAAUCAGCACCUCUAAACACUCCAGAAAUACCUUGUCCACCUUGCACUAAAGCACUUGUUCAAUUGGUGGGAUGACAGAGCAAGGAAAGUAAAGGACAAAGGUGCAAGAAGGCACUAUUAACCAUGGGCACAUUAACGGUAGGGACAGCCCAGAUGCCUGAUAUGCAGUCCCUUGCUGGAGAGGGCAAUUCUUCGUUAGCAGGGAUUGUAGCAGUUUGUGAAAAACAUUAACACGAAUCAUUGUUGGUCCUCAUUUUCUCAUCGUUAGGUUGAGAUAGAGCCCCACAAAUUACUUUAAAGCUCAGUACCAUCCUCUGCUACUUUUUCCCCAUUACCUGUUCUCUCUCUUCAUAUGUCUCCAGUUACCUCCCAUCUUGCAGCAAAAGGAGACAAUGUUUGACAAAUGUUCUCCCUCUUCUUGGGCCCUAAGCAGUGACAGAAGUACUUUUCCAGUUUUCUCAGUACAUCUCACUGUUUUGGCAGAAGUAUUUCCUCUCUCAUCUAACCCUUGCUCACUUAUACCCCUUACAUCAUGAUUCCCCACAAAUUUCAGCUAGUAUCUGAGCUGCCUAGGUUAGGAACACAGACAAGGUAAGCUCUCUGUUUAGUCAAUGGAGAGGGACCAUGGUCUUCAAGCUGUGAUUCAAGUCUCAGGUCACCUGUGUAACCCUCAGAUAGUUUCUCUUUUUGUUAACUGUAGAGGGAGCUGAAAGCUAGCAGGAUCCUAAUUUAUUUGCCUGAGGUGAGGUAGAGCUGGACCCUUGCAUGGACCGGACUGGAGACUACAGGCCAAGCUAUUUAACACAGCA
ensembl:lncRNA